AACGAACGCUGGCGGCAGGCCUAACACAUGCAAGUCGAGCGAGCAUUUCGGUGCUAGCGGCGGACGGGUGAGUAACGCGUGGGAACGUGCCCUUUUCUGCGGAAUAGUCCUGGGAAACUGGGGGUAAUACCGCAUACGCCCUUUUGGGGAAAGAUUUAUCGGAGAAGGAUCGGCCCGCGUUGGAUUAGGUAGUUGGUGGGGUAAUGGCCCACCAAGCCGACGAUCCAUAGCUGGUUUGAGAGGAUGAUCAGCCACACUGGGACUGAGACACGGCCCAGACUCCUACGGGAGGCAGCAGUGGGGAAUCUUAGACAAUGGGGGCAACCCUGAUCUAGCCAUGCCGCGUGAGUGAUGAAGGCCUUAGGGUUGUAAAGCUCUUUCAGCUGGGAAGAUAAUGACGGUACCAGAAGAAGAAGCCCCGGCUAACUCCGUG
rnacentral:rRNA from 1 species